rnacentral:sRNA from 1 species
UCCAUUCCGUCUUCAACAGGAUCCUCUGC